rnacentral:lncRNA from 7 species
UCGGGACAAUCGCUACUUAUUCCUAUCAAUAGAAAGUGUUGUGUCAAUAACGCAGCCGAGAUCUCGCCAAUCGUUAACUUCCAAGAGGAGAAGACACCGUCUCCCGGCUCAGAAGCGGAGUUUCGCUGGUGCUGGAGCUGCCCGCGGCACAGACACCGCAACCUCGGUGCCGAAGCCCGUUUCCAGCCCUGUCCCGAGCCUUCCUCCGCGCUUUGGACAGCUCCAGCGCCGCUCCCUCCCGUCCCUCCGCUGUGCUAUUCGCGAGGCGGCGGCUUCACCGCUCUUAGCGGUGCGGGGGCUCCCGAGUGCCAAAAGGGCCGCGGCAACGAAGGGCAAAAGUUUGGCCUCGAGUUGAUUUCGCGUUGCGCCCGGGGAAGCUGCUGUUCUCUUUUUCCCCGUAAUCGGUUUUGUGUUUCAUUCGCUCCUAAGCUAUGUUCUUGAUAUUGCUCACUUGCAUUAUGAUCACAACGUAUCUCUCCGCGCUCUCAAAAUCCGAAUCAGCGGCGAAUUCAUCUCUGCGUCGGGAUUAUUCCAAUCCGAUCCCAGAGGCGAUUAGAGGGAGGUAAAAUACCGCCCAAAGCCUAAUCUUUAAUUUCUUCCUCCUUAAUAAAAUGAAUAAUU